UCAUCACAUGAUUGGUUUUAGGGCACAUUUCCAACAAUCUCCCACUUGCACUAGAGCCAAUCAGCUUGGUUAUCAGUGAUGAUACCUCUUCUUUAGUCAUUUCAAAUGGCUAAGUAAUAGGCCUAGACAAUGGAUAUCUAUAUGUUAUCCAUAGAAGCAACCUUGAGAAUAACGACGUCACCAUUAUACAUAAUUCUCAAUCAUGUGGUUCAGUCUCUCAUUUGAGUUCGAAUCGUGAUGAGACCUUGAUUCCCUGGCUUGAGCUAUCGCCCCAUUAGUGUCGUAGUGUCGGUACACUAGAGACACUUUCUGGUUGGAACCGAAUAGAGAGUUCAUAAAUGAACUUUCCCAUCCAAACAACAUUGUUGUAAGCUUCUAUAUGGCAAUAUAUUUUGCAUUCACAAUGGAACACACUAAAGUCAUUACUUUUAAUGUUUCCAUCCAAAUAUCUCUUUUAGUCAUAAUAAAGAGAUAUCUGAUUAUCUCUUCAUUCAUAAUGAAGAAACAUCCAAUGAUGGAUUAGAUUCAUAAUCUAAUACAUUUACGCUUCCAUUUCGUUACUCUAAUUCUUCCUAAUUCUUUGAGGAAUCUAUCCUUCAGUAUUUCUUAAAUACUUAAGGACUCACUUGACAGUUGCCAUGGUUCUAAUCCUGGGCUUGCACUGAUAUCGUCUUGUACCUUUCUAGGUACAACUCAUAUCAAUGUUUUCAUACAAUAUGAAAUACAUAAAUCACCUUUCUACGUAUGCAUAAAGGAUUCUAUUUACGCAUUAUUUCUUUGGGAGUCAAAGGGUACGUUCCCUUUGAGAAGGGCAACUUGCUAGUCUCACUAAAGUCGUCCUUCUAAUUGAAGUUUAUCAUCAUAUGAGAAACUUCCUAGCAUCUUGUGUCUAUUAUUAGGGAUUGAUAUAAUCAAAUUAUAUCUUGAAAUCUAUCAUUAUAGAUUUACAUCCCAUGUUUAUAGACUAUGUCUCCCAUAUACAUUUUAUCAUUAUAGAAUGUUUAAAGUCAUAACUUUAACGAAGAAGUAUUCUUUUCAUUUCCAAAAUUAAUAUAUCAUAUAUGUGUAUAUAUAUAUUCAAAUUUAGGAACAUGAUUAACUCCCACUAAUCUUUUGUAAACCUAGUAAACAAAAGAUUCAUUUACAUCUUUAUGAGAAAUCAAACAAUUUGAUCUUUCUCUCAUAAGACGCUUAUAGCUCCCACUAGCUUGCUAAGAUCCAUGAUGGAUGGAUCUCUACAACUUACAUGUCUUGUGAUUCAUAGUUUUAGACAUAUAUUAUCAAGACUAUCUUAAUAAUGGUUUCGGAAACCCAUAUUAUGUCCAAACGUUGAAUCACCAUUUAGUUGUAGCUAGCAAUCUUCGAAUUAAUUGAAACUAAGACUACGUCAAAGAUGGUUUCUUCAAAGUCAACCAUUCUCUUUGAUUGUAGUCACCUUAAGCUACCAAUUAGCUAUUAAGGUUUCAUUAUUUCGGGUCAAAUGGUACUUUACCAUUUCCUUGAGUAUAUGUCGCAUAUACACUCAAUGUAGUCAUAAGGAUUUUCAUUCUUAUUUCUUUCGAAUUAAGAGGUGUAACUCUAUGACAUAGUCAUAAAGUUCAAACCAUUCAACUGAGACAGUUUAUAAAUCCUUCUCGACUACCUUGGAGCUUGUGGUAUAGGAACUAGGUUGUUAUAUUUGUCGGUUAUCAUCUUGUCUCUCAAAGAACCCAUUCUUUGAGUUCUAUCUCUCGUUCAUUUGCUCUAUCUUAGGCAAAUCCUAUGGUAGGAUUAUAAUGAACUAUCCAACAAACAACAUUUGUUAGUUGGUUUAUAGAAGUGAUAUCCAAAUGUUAAUUUAAGGAUACCCACAAGAUAAUUUUCAAAAAAAUAUUGCUUAUUAGCACCCAACCCCAAAUCUUAAUACAAUUAAGACUUGUCUUUCUUUCCAACUACAUCCUAUGGAGUCAUGAAAAUUUUGGAAGAUCUUCUAAUUGACAAUCAUAUUGUCUUAGAAGUAUAUAUCCUAUAUACAUGGGUAAUUGAUAACAUCCAACGAACUAAAUCUUAUUCAAGUUCGUUCUUCUCUUAAUGGAGAAAUCCAUUAUCUUAUGAUGCUUCUUUCCUUGAUAUCUUUCAAGAAAACUGUUCUAAAGUGUUAUCUUUCCUUGGAUCAAAUAUAAGGAGGUAAAUACUUUAGACAUCUUACUCAUCAACUUACAUUUCUUGAAUUCUUUGAAACAUUUUGCAAAGUAUUCGGACUUGUGUUUAUUCAAAAUAAACUAUAGUCCAACCGAGAGUGAUCUUCAGUGAAUGUCAUACAAUAUGAUUAGUAUUAUGUUUGUGGACAAGUGCCACUAACAUCUAAGUGAAUUAACUCAACAACUUUGUGAUUCUUUCUUCUUUCCAAAAGAAUAAAGAUUCGAACAUUUCGCCUCUAUACAAUUUUAAUAAGAAGGUAUUGGAUCCGGAUCUAACGAUCCAAAGCAUCCAUUUAGGACCAACUCGUAUUUUAUGUUUUUGAGGUAUCACAACUCAGUUGGGAUUAGUCACUACCUUGCAACCUUUUGGGUUUUAAGCAUCGUUAUAUUCUAAACAGUUAUACUACCAUAUCAUCUCUACUAUAGAGACAAUCAAUUAGAUUACAAUAAUCUAAUCAUUCAUUAAUAAAGAACAAUGUUUUGUCAAACAAAACAUUCAUCCAUCCCUUAUAGUGAUGGAAUUAAGUUCCUUAAAAUUGGAAUGUAAAGACAAUCUUUGGUUUUUCCAAUUUCUAUGGUAGUUCAUAUGAGGAAGUAAGUACCAUCUGCUUUCGCAGAGAUCUACAUUUGAUUCACUUUCCGAAUGUGAAGUACUUUCUCUUCACUCAUUAAUCUUCUACUUCCUAUUAGCCACACUUUUACAACGAUUGUAAAACAUAGUUACUAAUACGGAAUCAAGCAUUCAAGUAGAAGAACCAACUGUUUUAAACUAUUCAAGAACAAUUUACAACACCUUCGAAAGGUGUGUUCUUGACACUUGCAAGACAUUUCUUGCAAAUACCCCUUCCAAUGUCCAUCCUUUCAUAAAGAAAGUUUGUUCCCUUGGAAUUAUUUCGCUUUCUUCAUUUGACUUCUCCUUUGACUACAAUAGUCAUGGUCCCUAAACUCCCACUAUCUCUCUUGAAACUUAUUUCAAUUGUGUUAUACAUAUCCAACGAUUUGCAGAGUGUGUGGUUAUUGUUCACUAUAUAGUUUACAAUAAACUUAGUGAACCAUUUGGAUAGGGACACCAAGGUGAAGUCCUUGCCUAGUUUCUGUCUCUAGAAGUGAUUUAACACUUCAACACUCAAUGAUUCAAAAUCAUCAUAAGUCCAUGUUGAUGGACUAUUUUUGUCAACCAACCAUUAUGUUCUAAACAUAAUUACAAACUUUCAAGAGUUGUUCAAGGCAACUUUCAUUUCUUCAUACAACAAUUUGUAAGUGAAGAAUCAUGGCACAUAAAGUGUCCAUGCCCUUGU
rnacentral:lncRNA from 1 species